rnacentral:rRNA from 1 species
UACGUAGGGGGCAAGCGUUGUCCGGAAUCAUUGGGCGUAAAGAGCGUGUAGGCGGCCCGGUAAGUCCGCCGUGAAAGUCCAGGGCUCAACCCUGGAAUGCCGGUGGAUACUGUCGGGCUAGAGUCCGGAAGGGGCGAGUGGAAUUCCUGGUGUAGCGGUGAAAUGCGCAGAUAUCAGGAGGAACACCAAUGGCGAAGGCAGCACUCUGGGACGUGACUGACGCUGAGACGCGAAAGCGUGGGGAGCAAACAGG